rnacentral:rRNA from 1 species
UACGAAGGGGGCUAGCGUUGCUCGGAAUCACUGGGCGUAAAGCGCGCGUAGGCGGGUCUUUAAGUCAGGGGUGAAAUCCUGGAGCUCAACUCCAGAACUGCCUUUGAUACUGAGGAUCUCGAGUCCGGGAGAGGUGAGUGGAACUGCGAGUGUAGAGGUGAAAUUCGUAGAUAUUCGGAAGAACACCAGUGGCGAAGGCGGCUCACUGGCCCGAUACUGACGCUGAGGCGCGAAAGCGUGGGGAGCAAACAGG